UGGGGAAACCCAGUGUGACUCGUCACACUAUCAUUAACUGAAUCCAUAGGUUAAUGAGGCGAACCGGGGGAACUGAAACAUCUAAGUACCCCGAGGAAAAGAAAUCAACCGAGAUUCCCCCAGUAGCGGCGAGCGAACGGGGAGGAGCCCAGAGCCUGAAUCAGCAUGUGUGUUAGUGGAAGCGUCUGGAAAGGCGCGCGAUACAGGGUGACAGCCCCGUACACAAAAGCGCAUGUGCUGUGAGCUCGAUGAGUAGGGCGGGACACGUGGUAUCCUGUCUGAAUAUGGGGGGACCAUCCUCCAAGGCUAAAUACUCCUGACUGACCGAUAGUGAACCAGUACCGUGAGGGAAAGGCGAAAAGAACCCCGGCGAGGGGAGUGAAAAAGAACCUGAAACCGUGUACGUACAAGCAGUGGGAGCCCCACCACCAAAGCAUUUGCUGUACCGCGUUGACGGAGCGAAGCGACGUCAAACCGAUAAAACAGCAGUGUAAAGUGAGCCGCAGGGCGCUUUGCGCGACAGCGCAAAGGCAGGCGGUUUCGCGUAGCGAAAGCGAAUGCUUUGGGGUGGGGUGACUGCGUACCUUUUGUAUAAUGGGUCAGCGACUUAUAUUCUGUAGCAAGGUUAACCGAAUAGGGGAGCCGGAGGGAAACCGAGUCUUAAUUGGGCGUUAAGUUGCAGGGUAUAGACCCGAAACCCGGUGAUCUAGCCAUGGGCAGGUUGAAGGUUGGGUAACACUAACUGGAGGACCGAACCGACUAAUGUUGAAAAAUUAGCGGAUGACCUGUGGCUGGGGGUGAAAGGCCAAUCAAACCGGGAGAUAGCUGGUUCUCCCCGAAAGCUAUUUAGGUAGCGCCUCGUGAAUUCAUCUCCGGGGGUAGAGCACUGUUUCGGCUAGGGGGCCAUCCCGGCUUACCAACCCGAUGCAAACUGCGAAUACCGGAGAAUGUUAUCACGGGAGACACACGGCGGGUGCUAACGUCCGUCGUGAAGAGGGAAACAACCCAGACCGCCAGCUAAGGUCCCAAAGUCAUGGUUAAGUGGGAAACGAUGUGGGAAGGCCCAGACAGCCAGGAUGUUGGCUUAGAAGCAGCCAUCAUUUAAAGAAAGCGUAAUAGCUCACUGGUCGAGUCGGCCUGCGCGGAAGAUGUAACGGGGCUAAACCAUGCACCGAAGCUGCGGCAGCGACACUGUGUGUUGUUGGGUAGGGGAGCGUUCUGUAAGCCUGUGAAGGUGUGUCGUGAGGCAUGCUGGAGGUAUCAGAAGUGCGAAUGCUGACAUAAGUAACGAUAAAGCGGGUGAAAAGCCCGCUCGCCGGAAGACCAAGGGUUCCUGUCCAACGUUAAUCGGGGCAGGGUGAGUCGACCCCUAAGGCGAGGCCGAAAGGCGUAGUCGAUGGGAAACGGGUUAAUAUUCCCGUACUUGGUGUUACUGCGAAGGGGGGACGGAGAAGGCUAUGUUGGCCGGGCGACGGUUGUCCCGGUUUAAGCGUGUAGGUGUGUGUUCCAGGUAAAUCCGGUUCACUUUAACACUGAGGCGUGACGACGAGGCACUACGGUGCUGAAGCAACAAAUGCCCUGCUUCCAGGAAAAGCCUCUAAGCAUCAGGUAACAUCAAAUCGUACCCCAAACCGACACAGGUGGUCAGGUAGAGAAUACCAAGGCGCUUGAGAGAACUCGGGUGAAGGAACUAGGCAAAAUGGUGCCGUAACUUCGGGAGAAGGCACGCUGACACGUAGGUGAAGUGAUUUACUCAUGGAGCUGAAGUCAGUCGAAGAUACCAGCUGGCUGCAACUGUUUAUUAAAAACACAGCACUGUGCAAACACGAAAGUGGACGUAUACGGUGUGACGCCUGCCCGGUGCCGGAAGGUUAAUUGAUGGGGUCAGCGCAAGCGAAGCUCCUGAUCGAAGCCCCGGUAAACGGCGGCCGUAACUAUAACGGUCCUAAGGUAGCGAAAUUCCUUGUCGGGUAAGUUCCGACCUGCACGAAUGGCGUAAUGAUGGCCAGGCUGUCUCCACCCGAGACUCAGUGAAAUUGAACUCGCUGUGAAGAUGCAGUGUACCCGCGGCAAGACGGAAAGACCCCGUGAACCUUUACUAUAGCUUGACACUGAACAUUGAGCCUUGAUGUGUAGGAUAGGUGGGAGGCUUUGAAGUGUGGACGCCAGUCUGCAUGGAGCCGACCUUGAAAUACCACCCUUUAAUGUUUGAUGUUCUAACGUGGACCCGUUACCCGGGUUGCGGACAGUGUCUGGUGGGUAGUUUGACUGGGGCGGUCUCCUCC
rnacentral:rRNA from 1 species